rnacentral:rRNA from 1 species
AUUGAACGCUGGCGGAAUGCUUUACACAUGCAAGUCGAACGGUAGAGGGGGCAACCCCUUGAGAGUGGCGAACGGGUGAGUAAUAUAUCGGAACGUGCCCAGUCGUGGGGGAUAACGUAGUGAAAAUUACGCUAAUACCGCAUACGAUCUAAGGAUGAAAGCGGGGGAUCGCAAGACCUCGCGCGAUUGGAGCGGCCGAUAUCAGAUUAGGUAGUUGGUAGGGUAAAGGCCUACCAAGCCAACGAUCUGUAGCUGGUCUGAGAGGACGACCAGCCACACUAGAACUGAGACACGGUCCAGACUCAUACGGGAGGCAGCAGUGGGGAAUUUUGGACAAUGGGCGAAAGCCUGAUCCAGCCAUUCCGCGUGCAGGAUGAAGGCCCUCGGGUUGUAAACUGCUUUUGUACAGAACGAAAAGGUCUCUAUUAAUACUAGGGGCUCAUGACGGUACUGUAAGAAUAAGCACCGGCUAACUACGUGCCAGCCGCCGCAGUAA